AACGAACACUGGCGGCAGGCUUAACACAUGCAAGUCGAACGCCCCGCAAGGGGAGUGGCAGACGGGUGAGUAACGCGUGGGAACGUGCCCUUCGCUUCGGAAUAGCCCCGGGAAACUGGGAGUAAUACCGAAUACGCCGUAUUGGGAAAGAUUUAUCGGCGAAGGAUCGGCCCGCGUUGGAUUAGCUAGUUGGCGGUGUAAUGGACCACCAAGGCUACGAUCCAUAGCUGGUCUGAGAGGAUGAUCAGCCACACUGGGACUGAGACACGGCCCAGACUCCUACGGGAGGCAGCAGUGGGGAAUCUUGGACAAUGGGCGCAAGCUUGAUCCAGCCAUGCCGCGUGAGUGAAGAAGGCCUUAGGGUUGUAAAACUCUUUCGCCGGAGAAGAUAAUGACGGUAGUCGGAGAAGAAGCCCCGGCUAACUUCGUGCCAGCAGCCGCGGUAAGAC
rnacentral:rRNA from 1 species